AACAUUCUUCGCACUUGCAAACAAAUAAUAAUGAACUGUUCGCGAUUUUACACGUGAGUACUUUGUAUAAAAGCAUGAUGUAUUCACAUCUUCUUUCAAUUCACGAGAAGCUGUGACAGUUUUUGUAAAGCGAAGAAAUGGGAAAACCUUACCAAUAUGCGAGAGAUGUCACUUCAACGAAAUCAAUUCUGGUAUCGAUUGCAAAUCGCGUCCUGAGCAAAGUUGAUUUUUUUCACACAAAUGAAAAAAACGCAAAAGAAAUGUUUGCGCUUAUUCAAAAAUCACAACAACAUCGUCUCAACGAUCAAAGAUGUGAUAGCGAAGUUAUUAAAAAAGCAGACGAGAAUCGACUCUUCGAAAGGAUAAUUUUCUAUCAGUCCAAAAGAAUGGAUGACCAACGUUGCAACAUGCCGUCCAACCUCGCAAAGGAUCAGCAUUAAGAAACUUCAUGAAUGAAACCAGGAAAAAUUAGUAAGAUAUGAAAAUGUAGUAAGAUAUGAAGCCAUGAAAUUUGUCAAAAAGUUCCUGCGUCGUUUUUUGAUCCCACGAUUCAAGAUCUCAACGAGUGCCUGAAAGACAUCGAUGCCAGACGUUUGAACGUAAUAUCUGGAAAGUUAAGAGUCCAGAGAUCAAAUCGAGAGGGUUGGAAUUUCUGCAAUGCGAUCAUUGAAUGUAGACGUUACGUCACUCAAAACGAACAGAAAAGAAAGCGACGCAAAAGCACUUGAAAGUAAUGUGGAAUAAUGCAGAGUAGAAAAAUCAACGAUAAACGUGCUGAAAAUGACAGCGAAGUGCUUGUUUUUGAACGAUUUAUACAAGAGAAGUGAAAUGUAGGAAAGAAGAAAAAAUGAAUUGUAUUGAAGCGAAAUUUCCAUUGAUUGAUGAAUAAAUUAAGGGAACAAUAUCCGACCGUCUUUUGUGCCUGGUUGUGAAAUACCUGUGCAUACCGAGUAGAGAAUGUCGUUGAGUAAUGUAACAUUAAUAAAGAUACAUCUGUGUAACUGUUCGUGCCAUUUCAUAGCUAUGUUGCAUAAAGUCCGAUCAUUAAAUCAUUCUCUGUACACUAA